rnacentral:rRNA from 1 species
UACGUAGGUGGCAAGCGUUGUCCGGAAUUACUGGGCGUAAAGGGCGUGUAGGCGGCUUUUUAAGUCAGGCGUGAAAUAUUUGGGCUUAACCCAAAGACUGCGUUUGAAACUGGAGAGCUUGAGGACCGGAGAGGGCAGUGGAAUUCCCAGUGUAGCGGUGAAAUGCGUAGAUAUUGGGAGGAACACCAGUGGCGAAGGCGACUGCCUGGACGGCACCUGACGCUGAGGCGCGAAAGCUAGGGGAG